GAGUGGGAAUUCCUUGAAUAAAAUGAUCCCAAUAAUCUUGAGCUGGGUGUUGUCACUAGUGUUGGAGCUACAAAUGUUUGUCACUCCUGUGCUUGUUACAGUAAUGCGCCCUCAUCUGCCCUGGAGUGUUGUAACUGGUUCAGGAACUUAAUGUUGAGCUCUAGAACUGCAUCAUGGGAAAUGCAAUUUAUAAACACUUUGCGAACCACCAGCCUAAAUUGGGACCUAUCACCGGGAAACAUCCAGUGGUGUGGAGAUAUUUCACCAGAGGACAACUUGGCAUUUGACCAGGAAAUGCAGUUGAUGAGCCAGACAGACACUUCCUGCCCCACAACGGCUGGGUGAUGUCAGAUGACCCGCCUGACAAACUUUGCAGAGCCAGGUCAGCUGAUAGUUCAGUAGUAUUAGGUUACAGGUCAGCUGAUAGUUCAGUAGUAUUAGGUUCCAGGCCAGCUGCUACUGCUGUUGUAACUGGUCUAGUUUCGGCCUGUAAUUGUCAUAUCCAGUCUAUACCAAAAGGGGGUGGUAAAGAUGGACCUUUCCCUGAGAAAUGUGACACUUUUUUUGUUUGUUUUAGAUAUCAUUGAUAUUUCUAACUCUUCUGUUUCAUCCCUGUCUGGCUCUACCUUGUACCCGAGGGGAGAGCUGAUCUGCUGGGGAGAGCUGAUCUGCUGGGGAGACAGCCUGAAGCUGUGCUGCUUAGGGGAGAGCUGAUCUGCUGGGGAGAGCUGAUCUGCUGGGGAGACAGCCUGAAGCUGUGCUGCUUAGGGGAGAGCUGAUCUGCUGGGGAGACAGCCUGAAGCUGUGCUGCUUAGGGGAGAGCUGAUCUGCUGGGGAGACAGCCUGAAGCUGUUCUGUUGAGGGGAGAGCUGAUCUGCUGGGGAGACAGCCUGAAGCUGUUCUGUUGAGGGGAGAGCUGAUCUGCUGGGGAGACAGCCUGAAGCUGUGCUGCUGAGGGGAGAGCUGAUCUGCUGGGGAGACGGCCUGAAGCUGUGCUGCUGAGGGGAGAGCUGAUCUGCUGGGGAGACAGCCUGAAGCUGUGCUGCUGAGGGGAGAGCUGAUCUGCUGGGGAGACGGCCUGAAGCUGUGCUGCUGAGGGGAGAGCUGAUCUGCUGGGGAGACAGCCUGAAGCUGUGCUGCUGAAGGGAGAGCUGAUCUGCCAAAGCCUCUACCCCUUCACUUUCCCCUUCCCAUCUCUCGCCCUCUUCUCUAUCUCCAACCUCACUCUUUCUCCCUCCCCAAAAUUGCCUAUGUUGCAUUGUGUGCCCUGGUGUGUGUGGUGUGGCUGUAUGUAGUACAUGCUGGAGAGAACUCGCAAGGUGAAGCCAGACCUGUAUAUGGUGGCUGAGCUGUUCACAGGCAGCGAAGAGCUGGACAAUGUCUUUGUCACUAGACUGGCCAUUACCUCCCUCAUCAGAGAGGCCAUGAGGGCAGGAGACAGUCACGAGGAGGGUAGGCUGGUCCAUACGUUUGGUGGAGAGCCUAUGGGCUCGUCUGAGGCUGGGCUGAAGAACGUCUAGUGCCCUCUAUCGCCCAUGCCAUGUUCCUCGACGUUACCCAUGACAAUGAUAUGGUCCAAUUCACAAACCUAUCAAUAUAACUCCUUGUAACCCCUACUGCCUCUGAUCUGGCAGAAUCACUGUAUUUGUGAAUGUUGGAGUGUGCCCCUGUUUGUACAUUUAAAAAGCAACAAAAAAGUGGUGUUUGCAUAAUGUGAGGAAUUUGAUGUAUAGCUUUUACUUUUACUCAAGUAUAACAAUUGUAUUUUUUGUACAAAAUCUUUAAAAAAGAGGUGGUGGUUCUGGAGGCCAGGACUGUGGAGAGGAUCGGAUCGCUGUGUUAAACCAGAAAGACAGGAACGGCAUCAACAGUCUGCCGAAGCACACUGUAGAGAUCAGAGAACACAUCCAGGACAAUUACUCAACACAUCUCCAGGCUGUGUAAGGGCUAUUUGACCAAGAAGGAAAGUGGAGUGCUGCAUCAGAUGACUUGGCCUCCGCAAUCACCCAACCUCAAACCCAAUUGAGAUGGUUUGGGAUGAGUUAGACCGCAGAGUGAAGGAAAAGCAGCCAACAAGUGCUCAGCGUGUGGGAACUCCUUCAAGACUGUUGGAAAAGCAUUCCAGGUGAAGCUGGUUGAGAUAAUGUCAAGAUUGCCUUCAUGACAGCUUUGAACAAAGGGUGGCUACUUGAGGAAUCAACAAUCAAAAAAUAUAUUUUGAUUUAACACUUUUUUUGGUUACUACAUGAUUCCAAAUGUGUUAUUUCAUAGUUUUAAUGUUUUCGCUAUUAUUCUACAAUGUAGAAAAUAGUACAAAUAAAGAAAAACCCAUGAAUCUGUAGGUGUCCAAACUUUUGACUGGUACUGUAUAUAAAUUCCGGCGACUAAUAUUACUCGUUCUGAUAUUUCUUAUAUAUUUUUUUAUUUCUUUAUAAACUUUUGGUAUUAUGUUUGCAUUAUAUAAGCAUUUUGCUGCACCUGUGAUAACAUCUGCAAAUUUGUUUACUCGACCGAUACAUUUUUAUCUAAUUUGAAGUACAACUUACAGACUGUAGUUUACUGUUGAGAGUUAGAAUGGUAGAAUACACAAGGUGCAGUUUUGAAACUUGGUUGUGCAUCAGCAAUUUGCCUCUUCUUAUAUGUUACUCAUUGACAGGCACUCAAUUAGCCCAUGUCAGUUAAACGUUUUGUUAAAUUGGUCUAGUUAGUCUAGCCAGUUAUCUAAAUUUGUAGUCAUCAUGGCCGAAUUACCGUCCGGGAACACUGGGCACGUGCCCAGGGGCCCAGACCUCCGGGGGGGCCCCCAUUGAGUUUCUUAGUCACUCUGAUUCAGGUAUCAUAUUAACAUGGCAUAAGUCAUGUCAACAUAUGUAGAAUUGCUGGAAAAUAGCUUUUAAAACUGCAAAAAAUGUCUCCCCAACCCAUGGCAAAAUGUGUAGAAUUUCAGGAAAUUAGCUCCUAAACAGUAACAACAACAAAAAGUUAUGUAAAGCAAACGUAUGGGUGUUCCUUUUGUUAAUAAAAUAAUUGUUGCGAACAGA